rnacentral:tRNA from 1 species
GUCCCUGUAGCUCAGCCGGACCCAGAGCGCCGCACUACGGAUGCGGAUGUCCCAGGUUCGAAUCCUGGUAGGGGCA